GAUGAACGCUGGCGGCGUGCCUAAUACAUGCAAGUCGAGCGAACGGACGAUAAGCUUGCUUCUCUGAUGUUAGCGGCGGACGGGUGAGUAACACGUGUAUAACCUACCUAUAAGACUGGGAUAACUUCGGGAAACCGGAUCUAAUACCGUAUGAUAUUUUGAACCGCAUGGGUCAAAAGUGAAAGACGGUCUUGCUGUCACUUAUAGAUGGAUCCGCGCUGCAUUAGCUAGUUGGUAAGGUAACGGCUUACCAAGGCAACGAUGCAUAGCCGACCUGAGAGGCUGAUCGGCCACCCUGGAACGGAGACACGGUCCAGACUACUACGGGAGGCAGCAGUAGGGAAUCUUACGCAAUGGGCGAAAGCCUGACGGAGCAACGCCGCGUGAGUGAUGAAGGUCUUCGGAUCGUAAAACUCUGUUAUUAGGGAAGAACAUAUGUGUAAGUAACUGUGCACAUCUUGACGGUACCUAAUCAGAAAGCAACGGCUAACUACGUG
rnacentral:rRNA from 1 species